GCGACCGUGAUAGCCAUUUCAGAUCCGUGGAUUGCUCUUCUCCAUUUCAAUGGCAAUUUAAAAAAAAGAAAAAAAGGCAAAAUCAGAAGCUCAAACAAAUAUCACUGUUCCUCCUUCACUCUCAGAGAUCUGACAAUCCCUUCUCCGUUACUUAACAGUCAACUUUCUCUCUCAGUUUCAGGAAGAUGUGGAAAUAAAUCGAUGUUCAAAUUGGAUCUAUUAUGGAGAAGAUCUUCCAGUAGUCAUAGUGUAUUUCAGGGGGUAAAGCUGUGAUCUUUAACGGUGGAUCUGCUGUGUUAGUUGUUUGAAUUGGCAUAACCUGGAGCGAGUGUAUUAGUUGCGUAACUCAGUGAUGGAGGCUCUCGUUGUUGUGGCUCAACACAAGAAUCAAUAUUACGGCAGAGUCAAGCCAAAUGGGUCGAGUCGUUACGGCUCAUCACCUUCUAGAAACUUAAGAGAUGUUAACUGUAGGGCUUUCGAAUCUGGAUCAGGUAUACUUCCAGCACCGAUCAAGAAUGUUUCUGCUCCUGUGAACAAACGACCCUCUUCCUUUGUUUCGUUUAAUUCUUCAUCUUCGCCAAAAACACCAUCAGCAAGCGUUAAUGGGAACUCAUACUCUGUGGACAACACCAUAACGAAGUCGAAAACCAAUUCCAGUAGCAGCCCUAUUGUGAUCAACAUGAAAAUUCCAAGAAAUGAGACAUCUUUCACCGGGAAACUCCUUGGUGAGUUUGAAUCCUUCUCAUUUUCUGAGCUGUGGGCUGGGCCGGCUUACUCCAACUCACCACCGCCGAGCUCUUUGCCUAUUCCCAAGUUCUCAAUGCGGCCCAAACGCACUGUUUCACUUGAUUUGCCAAUAAUGGUUCAUGAGACUUCUGUUGAAAUGGUUCGCCCAAUGGCCAAAUCUGCACCCUCAUCACCAACCAGGGGGCUUACCGGUUGUACUAGGGAUAUAUUUCUUAGUGCUGACUCGGCAACAAAGACUCUGCGUCGCAUUCUUAAUCUUGACAAUGCCGAUGAGUGAAGUAGAAGGAGCUUUACGUGCUCCUGUAAAUAACUUUAGAUUUUUGAAGUGGGUAGUGUUAGAUUGUAUAUACAGUGGAACAAAAUAAAGAUUUACCUUGAUAGUGCAAGUUGGUAUGCGGUUGUUUCUUUAGCUUUUGAUUUGGGUUGUUAGUUUGAGUCGUAUGGGGUUGUGUUUUGUUUUAGUGUGGUAGAUGGCCCUGGUGGGUCAACAAUCUCCUGAUUUUCAUUUGAGAUUGAUGUGGAGUUGGGCAAGGGUAGCAUAACAUGGUGUGGCUGCAUGGAUAGAAGUUAACUUGAAUUGGAAGCAGAGGGAAUAUGGGAGUAUAUGUUGAGGUGAAUGCAUUGCUGCAUCUUCUUUGGCGUACGAUGGAGCAGUUAACUACUAUUUAAGCUACUGGACUGCAAGGAAAUUACAUCUUUGAUAGAUUUGGAAUCUAUAAUGAUAACUUGUCAGUAUAAUCUAAAUCUCUCAGGGUAAAGCUGUUGAUUCUCACGGUUAUGGACUUAAGCAAAAGUUCUUAGGCCUCUAGUGUUAAAUACCAUGUAAUAUACGGUAGAAUUUUGAUUAGACCAUUCACAAGUUCCUUGGAUCUCUGUUUAUCCUUGUAAUUCAUCUCUUCUCCUUGAUUUCAGUUUCAAAAUCCUUUCUAUCUGAUAAUCUUACUUCGAUUAGACUUUCUGUUUCUAAGUUGACUGUCUCAAUUAGCACCUUUUAUUAUCAUUUUCUUCUUUGUUCAGCCUACCAUCAAUUGGAUGCUCAGCAAUCAAGCAUCUCUUUUUUAUAGUCACAAUUUCUUACUAUAUCUCUUUUUAGUUAGAAACUGAAUCCUUGUAUACAUGUAUUGCUUCCCCUUAACCACCUUUUCGUGUUUUUUUUUGAGAGGGAAAAAUUGGGAAGGGGGAGUGAAAGUAGUUAUCUGCCACUUAUGCUUCUUUAAGUUAAGCUCAAUCUGUGUUUGCUCUAUCCUAUUCUAUGCACUAUUUUUUCCCGUUCUUCUGAGUGGAAACACCACUUGUUUCCUGCUCUUUAGAAAGCUUAUUUUACUUGGAGAUUGUUGACUGUUGCCAAGCCAUUUACAAGGGUACCAUUGUAAGAAGUUUUUGGAAGGCUCUCUCAGGAGUAGAAGCUGUCCGUUAUAGUUAUAGUCUUGACUGUUAGUCUUAUGUGGACUAUAUGCAGUGUCUGUGUCUUUCUUGGAAAGAAAUGUCUGCAGUUCCUAUGAUUUCGUGUAAUAAAUGUAUGCUGUUUCGAAUAUAUGCAAUCUUUUUUUCCUGUCACCUGUGUUUGUCUUAAUACUGAAUACUUUUCUUUAUCUUGUGGUUGUUGUACCAGAAGUCUCUUGAAGCAGGGAGUCAAUAUGUAGUGUGAGACUAAGAUUUUCGCUUUUCA